CAAGCCCAUACACGAUAAACCGCAAGCGCAAACAUACCGAUCGAACGCACUUGUGUGCUCGUGUAUGGGCGCUUUUAGGGAAAUUUAGCAACUGUCCAGUUUGAUUAUUUAAAAAAUAACAUAGUUUAUAUUUCAAUUACAUAUGUAUGUCAAAAUUCAAAACAAAUUUAUAUUUCUAAAAAUAAGCAUUCAAUUUCAUAUUGACGGAUUGAAGUAAAAAUAUAUAAUCCUUAUUUUUCUAAAAUAUUUAUUUGUCGAAAAAAGUAGACUUCUACUUUUCGGGAGUGAUAUUUCAUGAUAUCAAUUGCCCACCCCAGAAUAUUUCCAACUCUAAUGACAAUAAAUAUACCAAUUGGUUGGCAAUGGUUAUGCUUGUGGAGAAGCGUCGUUGCGAUUUCAUUGCUACUGGGUGCGUCAAAAAUACCAUAAUGGUUUGAUAUACAUACAUUACAAGCAAUUUGGCUGCAGUUGAUUUUGUAUAAAAUAAUAAGAUAUUAAUAAAUUUCACUAUUUGCAGCUGAGUUUUACAUAUUUAUUAUUAUUUGAUUUUCUUAUAAAAUUAUAAAACUUUUCUAUAAAGCUUCGCAGUAUUAGCGUUUCGAUUCUCAGAAUGUUUUCGUUUCAGUACUUGCUUACAUUGAAAUUAUCGAAACAAAACAAACUAGGAAAUAUGUUUAUUUUCCUUAAUUUGUAUACUCAUUUCAAAAUGAAUUCCGCCGAGAUUUAGAUCGAUUUAACAAUAACCAUAACUCUACAUCAUGAAGGACGCAAAAUAUUAAAUAUUAUAUUUGAAAUCCGUAAAACGAAAAUUUUCGGAAGGGCUUAAAGACUUCUUAAAUUGGAAUAUUCAACUUUUGUGCAAUAUUUUGAUAUUUGCUGCGAUGUCCAGAAAAGUUCCAGUGCUUACAUAAGUACAUAUGUCAGAAGCGAGAUUCAGUUUACUUUAUAAUUUGACAAAGCAGGGUCUAGCUAAACAUCAAUACCCGUCCGCGACAAUAGGCUCUAAAUAAUCGGAACGGACACGGAUUUUAAUCCGUCCAAGGACUGUCUCAACUCGACACCUCUACGAAAUUUGUCCAGAAAUGUUUUUUGCCACUCCAACGACAACAACUCGUCAGCGAUUAUCUUUAUGAAAUUCACUUUCAUCAAGACCAGUAUUUUUUGAUUGGCUUGACUACAUUUGUAACUACAAUUUGAAUUUGCCUUCCUAGUGAUGUGGUUGACUCCGAGGUUAAAGUCCUACUUUCACGGAAGUAGCGUGCAGAGAGAAACAAAAUGCCACACAUCAAAUUUUCUAUUUCGCGACAAGCUUUGUAAUUACAUCUAAAAAUCCGUAUUCACUAGUCCCUGGUUUCUGGCUCCACUGUGAAUGACGGUCAGUGCUUGUCAGAAGUUAGUUGCGACCGAAGUCUAGUCUGUUGAUGCUCCUAGGAGUCGAUUCCGCCCAAUGCAGGUGAUUGAAGAGAUGAUUUCUGCGAAAGCACACCAGCAGGAACUGCUUGGAAAGGAGUUCAUUAUGCUCCUUAACUGGGAGCAAACGGGUGUCCACAGGUGUUUGAUAAGAGACAUCAAGAGGCAUCAUGUCGUAGUUCGGAGUGCAGUGUUCUGACAAGUUUGGAGCUUCCUCGUCUGCGUUUCACUGCAUACAGGCGACUAUAUUGGUGCGGCAUAGUUAAUAACCGGCGAUUGUCUUGUCAGUUGCCAACUACGUUUCUUUGUCCUUUCCUCAUGUGCUGAUCGCUAGGGACUUGAGGAUAUUGUUGAGGCUCCGAGGAGAGAAAGGUCGGAGAGAUAGCCAUUUGCCUUUGGACACAUGCCAUCGACUCCAUUCGUUCAUUCAUUCCUGACGUCAAUAACUUGAAAUCAUCAGCGUACAAAUUGGUAGAAAACCCCUCUGUUGGUUGCGGUAGUUUCGAGAUGUUAAAGCCUGGGUUGAAAGGAGUUGCAGCCUUUUGGACUCCAUGCAAUUGUUCGCCCUCCUUAACUGAACUCUCCUGGAAGGAGUCGGGCGUUCCUGCAUAACUGGAGUGGACAAUGGCAAACGUUCAAGGGACAUAUCGGCGACAGUAGGAGGUAUAUUCUCCACACCAAAUGCUUGCCCACUUGGUGCAACUGCUUCCCUUAAUUGAAUAAGCUGGGCCACGCUCUCUUCCACUGGGCUCAGCGACUGCUCUUGCGACGGUCCACCACCAGUCGCAAGUUAAUGGGCCUAAUCAUUGAAUCCGUUUCGAUCGAAAUAUGGUUCGAUAUGAUCGAAAAAAUUUGCGUUGAAAUCAUUGAAACCGUAUCGAAAAUAAAAUUUUCGAUCGAAGUGAACUCACUUACCGACUUGAUAAAAUGCUUUCCGCACAUAGAUGUCGCUAAUUUCGAAAUCAUUGAUACCGCAAUAUCGAAAAUUUGUGUCGAAAUCAAUCCGUUGGUGAGUGCGUUGCGGAAUUCUUACGAAAAUGGAUAAUUUAGAUAAGAGACAAAAACACACCAACAAAAAAAAAAUUUGAAGUAAGUGAAAUGAAGCUGCACCCCGACAUAGCGAAAGGAUUUUCGCAAAGAGCACCAGGCGAAUUGAAUCAUUUUUGGGAAGAAAUUUCAAACAAAUUAAACGCAGUAGGUCCCCCAAUCAAGGACAGAACUGGAUGGAAGAAGGUUUGGACAGAUUUCAAGUUUGCGACGAAGAAAAAAAUGG